rnacentral:tmRNA from 1 species
GGGACUGUACCGGUUUCGACGGGGGUGUAGAGGCGUAAAUAGCGGGCGGAGGCGCAGACUCCUUAGUCGAGUUUACUCGACUUGGUCAACUUGUUUGACUUUUAACUGCAAUCUUAUAAAUUAAAGAACAACGAUAACGUAGUUCUGGCCGCCGCUUAAGGCAGCCCGUCCUCGCCGGAAGGUCCACGAUCCGGAUGAGGGCGUCGACAAGUGGAGAACGUGAGUGCGCUAAGCUUUGCGCGCACCAUGAACAAUGAAGCUACCAAGCCAUAAACGCGUGACGGUUUGCGUUAUGGAAGAGUCUCGAUACGAGACAAAAGUCUCAUUUUUGAGACAAAAGUCUCGAUACGAGACUUUGGGAAUGGUCUGAAUUUAAAAGCUAUCGGCUUACGAAGCAAGACAAAAUAAUCGUCUGCGCCCGGAGAAGUUUACGUUAAAGCGCUUUCGGACGGGGGUUCGACUCCCCCCAGUUCCACCA